UCCCCUCCUCCCGGCUACUGCAGUGCGGGGGCUGGCGGGACGCGGUGGCUCCCCGCAGUUUGCGACCUCGUGCAGAAACCAGCAUGUUUUCUGCUCAGUGACUAUAAAACAAAGACGGAGUGACUUUCUCCAGUCUCUGUUGAAUCUCCACAAUAACCCCAUGAGGAAACGGAGGUACAGCGGGAUGCAGUGGUGCUGCUUUAUACUGGGAAACAUAAUUACCGAGAGGUCAUCAGUUCAACAAGGCUUCCCAAGAGGAGGAGUCCUAUCAGGGGCACUGUGAGGAGAAGAAACGAGUAAGCCCCAGCCCUACCCUCCAGGUCUAGUGAGAGAGAAACCCAGACACUUGAGACAGUGAUGGGUGUUUGAAGGGUUGUGAACAGGGUGGGGUUGGUUGGGGAAGAUUCCACUGUGAAGAUAGAAUUUAAAGCAGUCCUUGGAGAGCUAAGAAGUCAGCAGCCUGAGAUGGGGCCAGGAGAAGGGACCGGGGCCAGGAGAAGGGACCAGGGCCGGGAGAAGGGACCAGUGCCAGCAAAGACUUGGAGGCAGAAAAGCAUCAGAUUUUCAGAAGCCCAGGUGCUGAGAACUGAAACAGACCUCGGAGGUUUCCCAGUCCGACUCCCACAACAAGGUGCUCCCUGACUCCUGAGCAGCUGCAGGGACAUCGGGGAGACAAAAAGCUGCCUCGGGCCCAGCUGGGAGCCGUUCCCUGGACCAGGCCACAGGCUCCAGAACCCCUCAGACAUUCUUGAGUUCCUCCAACAUGCGGGUCACUCUCCUCUGGACACGCCCCUAUUUCCUGUCCUUGCACUUUGUAGCAUCCAGAGAUACCAUUAGCAGUGUUUGCCACUCAGGAGAAGGAUCUAGAAGGUGUGCCCUUGUCUAGGACUACAGCACUACCCAAUCCAAGUGUGUUUUAUUCUAGACAAUGUUUUUAAUCGAGACAGCGUUCUUAAUAAAUCAGCAAAAUACACAUA